rnacentral:sRNA from 1 species
GGGAGGUAAUCUAUCCUAGUACUACUCUCGCCCAAGCACCCUUAACUGCGGAGUUCUGAUGGGAUCCGGUGCAUUAGUGCUGGUAUGAUCGCAUGUGUUACUACAUGCAAUGUAAUCGUAUCUAUUCUUUUUUAAAGACUUUAUGAUCCAUUUGCCGUGGGUCCCACCAGCUAUGUAGGAAUACUCUAUCUACUUUAUAAGAGCUUUGAUACAUGCAGAAUAUUGGAAAACAACGUCCGAACAUAUAAUUUCCCCCCCC